ensembl:misc_RNA Y_RNA Y RNA
GGCUGGUCCGAUGGUAGUGGGCACUCAGAAGUUAUUACUGCUAGUUAAGCUAACCUUUCUAUAUUCCACCCCACUGCUAACCUCGACUGGUCUUUU